AGAUCACGCCACUGUACUCCAGCCUGGCUGACAGAGCGAGACUCUCCCAAAAAAAAGAAAAGAAAAUACUGAUUCUAGCCUCACAUCAAAUCUACAGAAUUAAAACCUCAAGAAAAGUUAGAGAAUCUAUUUUUUGAGGCAGAUUAUUCUAGAUUGAGACUAGUUAUAACAAUAUGAGCUUCAACUGAAACCUGUAUUUAGGGAAAAAAAUGUAUAAAUGACAUUUUGGAAUGCCUGGGCCAGUUUUAAUAGGAAUUGUUUAUUAGAUGAUAUUGAAUUCUGGUAAUUUUCUUAGAUGUGAUAUUUUAGAAUUAUAGGGGAAUGUUCUUAUUCUUAGGUAAUACAAGCUGAAGUAUUAAAAAGGUAAGUGUCAUGUCUAUAAUUUACCAUUAAAAAAACAGCAAAUUGCUUUUAAUAAUUUGGAAAACAGAGAAAGCAAACAAGACAAAAUUUGGGGGAGGGGCAAUCAUUACACUCUUCUUUCAACUGUUCUGUGGGUUUGAAAUUUCUCAAAGUUUGGGGGAACAUUAAGCUGUGAGGCUAUUCUGGUGUGAGCCAAACAUGAGACCCACUGGACAAGAUAACCUCUGCUAUUCCAUCCAGCCUGAGUGCCUGGUGCCUGAUGUCUGAGGCUGAGUUCUCUGUGGCUUACAGAGCCACACUGGGGUGUGGUAAAUUCCAUACUGGCUGGGGUGGUGCCACAGCUGAGACUAAGUCUUGCAGUGACACUAGGCCACAGUGACCCCUAGAGGUACUUGGCGCACUCAGGAGCAGUCCACCCCUUGCCACAAUUGGCAUGUUCAGGAGUAGGAAAGAGAAGCCCAUGGGCACCCCCACUGUCCUGAAUUGCAUGGGGCCCGUGUCAAUGCAGUCCAUCUUGCUUGGCCCUAAUGACCUGAGGUUUGCUCCCUGAAGGUGGGGCUAGACUAGAAAAAGGAAUACCAGAUCCCUGAUAGACAAUCUCCAAGAAUGAUGACACCCAGGAAAACAUGCCAGAUGGAGGCUAGGCCUGGAGACAAGCAGGAGCAGGAGUUUCAUGCCUGAUGUGAGCCCAGCCCUGACCAAAUCCACCAGAAUGAACUAUAGUGAGGAUACAGGAGGCACAUGGAGGUGUGCCAGGAUGGGGAAGGACACACGGGGUAAAGGUAUGAAGGGGCAGGCAGGGAACAAACAGCACCCUGGGUGCAGGGUUAGGUUCAGGGAUGGGCUGCUAAUGGGAAGUUUGCGAUUCAUGGAGGUGAUAUCAAUGAUACUUAUGUACUCACGAGGAUGAGGCCAGGGGACACAAGUAGGUGACGUGACAUGGUAACACUCAGAGUCAUUCCAAGUAUAGAACUCAGCCUAGAGCUCUAAUCAAAGGUCUGAAGGAAAGACAGUUUUCCGUUGCUUGAAGGUCAAGGUGCAAGGGGCAGAAAUAUUCACAGGUAUUUAAUUAAGGGCUGACAUCCAUUCUCCUAACCUUUGCAAUUUGUUGUAUUGCUACACACAACAAUAUUGGUGCAAGAGCCUUAAUUCAGAGACCAAAGAGUUUGGAAUUUCACAAUAAAGAUAUAACUGAGGGCGGAGAGAAACUUGGGAUGUAGGUUUCCAGCAGAAGAGCCUGUCCGGACUGCACUUCCUCCUCAGCUGCUUUCCCUCAGACCAGGGACUGUCUGAGGGAAAAGAGAACAGACAGGCAGAAUCUCAGGCUCAGCCUAUGCUGCAUCUGAGUCCAGGAUGAUCAACAGUCACACUGAGGGCUGAAGCAGUAUGACAGGAGGAAAAUGCUAACCUCUAACCAACUAUUUACAUUUCAAGUUUGUUUGGGGGAACUCUUAAUGAAAGCAUUGAGACAAUUCAAACACCAUUGUUACACACUAACAAACUUUUCCAAAGGCUGCCGGAUUCGUGAAUCACAUAAAUAAAUAAAUAUAAAUAAAAAUGAGGACUGGCAGACUGCAACUUUGUAUUACAACCUCUUACCUCCACUUUUCACAAUGACCAGGCAACAUCUUUCAAAAUAAAUAAAAACCUAAGAAACUGUAUUGAUCUGUCCUUUUGCAGGUGGCGGCGAGGGUGGAGAGGAUGCCAUGAAGGCCUCGGGCACACUAUGAGAGUACAAGGUGGUGGGUCGCUGCCUGCCCACCCCCAAAUGCCACACACCAACCCUCUACCACAUACAAAUCUUUGCAUCUAAUCAUGUCAUUGCCAAGUCCUGCUUCUGGUACUUGGUAUCUCAGUUAAAGAUGAAGUCUUCAGGAUAGAUCGUUACUGUGGGCAGGUGUUUGAGAAAUGCCCCGUGGGUGAAGAACUUCGGCAUCUGGCUGCGCUAUGACACCCUGAGCAGCACCCAUGUGCCGGGAAUACAGGAACCUGACCACUGCAGGUGCUGUCAUCCAUUGCUACCGAGACAUGGGCGCCUGGCACCAUGCCUAGGCCCACUCCAUCCAGACCAUGAAGGUGGAGGAGACCACAGCCAGCAAGUGCCACCGGCCAGCUGUCAAGCAGUUCCAUGACUCCAAGAUCAAGUUCCUGCUGCCCCACUGGGUCCUACACUAUCAGCACAAGCCAUGCUUCCCCACCAAGAGACCCAACACCUUCUUCUAGGUGCAAGGCCUUCGCUUGGGUGUGCCCCAAAUAAACUCAGGAAUGCCCCGG